rnacentral:rRNA from 1 species
UGGGGAAUAUUGCACAAUGGGCGCAAGCCUGAUGCAGCAACGCCGCGUGAACGAUGAAGGUCUUCGGAUCGUAAAGUUCUGUUGCAGGGGAAGAUAAUGACGGUACCCUGUGAGGAAGCCCCGGCUAACUACGUGCCAGCAGCCGCGGUAAUACGUAGGGGGCUAGCGUUAUUCGGAUUUACUGGGCGUAAAGGGUGCGUAGGUGGUCUUUCAAGUCGGUGGUUAAAGGCUACGGCUGAACCGUAGUUAGCCUCCGAAACUGGAAGACUUGAGUACAGGAGAGGAGAGUGGAAUUCCCAGUGUAGCGGUGAAAUGCGUAGAUAUUGGGAGGAACACCAGUGGCGAAGGCGGCUGUCUGGACUGAAACUGACACUGAGGCACGAAAGAGUGGGUAGCAAACAGG